rnacentral:rRNA from 1 species
AGAGUUUGAUCCUGGCUCAGGAUGAACGCUAGCGGCAGGCUUAACACAUGCAAGUCGAGGGGCAGCGGGGAGGAAGCUUGCUUUCUCCGCCGGCGACCGGCGCACGGGUGAGUAACACGUAUGCAACCUGCCCCUGUCAGGGGGACAACCCGCCGAAAGGCGGGCUAAACCCGCGUACAUGCCACCGGGGCAUCCCGGAGGCAGGAAAGGCUUCGGCCGGACAGGGAUGGGCAUGCGGCGCAUUAGGCAGUAGGCGGGGUAACGGCCCACCUAACCGACGAUGCGUAGGGGUUCUGAGAGGAAGGUCCCCCACACUGGUACUGAGACACGGACCAGACUCCUACGGGAGGCAGCAGUGAGGAAUAUUGGUCAAUGGUCGGGAGACUGAACCAGCCAAGCCGCGUGAGGGAGGAAGGUACAGAGUAUCGUAAACCUCUUUUGUCAGGGAACAAAGGCGGGGACGUGUCCCCGGAUGAGUGUACCUGAAGAAAAAGCAUCGGCUAACUCCGUGCCAGCAGCCGCGGUAAUACGGAGGAUGCGAGCGUUAUCCGGAUUUAUUGGGUUUAAAGGGUGCGCAGGCGGUCUGUUAAGUCAGCGGUCAAAGCCCGGGGCUCAACCCCGGCCCGCCGUUGAAACUGGCAGUCUCCAGU